UCUCAUCUAUUUUCAAAAGAUAUGUCGACAGCAGCUGACAACUCUGAAAUCGUUCCCUUAUUUCAGCCCUGCUGAGUUCUGCACAGACGGCUGCUGUAUUGGCAGUGAACAAUGCCAAAGACUCUAAAACAUCUUGUAUAGUUUGUAUAACUUCUGUGGGUAGUACACUACACAGUUUUUUGAGUAACUUGCUGAGAUUGCAGUGGCAUCAAAUGUGAUGAGUGCUUCAGCCACAUUUAAUAGGACAAUUUUAUCAACAUUUUCAUUUAAAAUAAAACAUAUGAAUGAAUAAAUUGUUGAGGACAUUGAAAACAUUCUAAUCUAAAUCUAACAUCUAAUCUAAAUCUCAACACUAAAAUGAGCUACAGGUUAAGAGUCACAUUUAAUUUUAUUUCUCAUAAUUUGUUCUCAACCAAAGUGCCCUUGAAGGCACAGCUUGAAAACCCUCUAUUCACUUGACUCCCUCUAUUCUGUCCUUUCCUCAUCUUCAGCUGCUCUCACCAUCUUAACGUGUGGAACUAUGUGUCAUUCCAUUGCCCAGCUGACCCACAAGAGGACAGGGAAAGGGGUCACUUAAGAAUAAGGCCUUGUUCACCUCCUCUGUUUUGGUUUGCUCCCUCUACCACUUUCUCUUUUCCCCCCCCUCUCUCUCUCUCUCUCUCUCUCUCUCUUUCUCUCUCUCUCACUAGUUUGGCCCCAGCUGUCCAUCAGCCCCCCGCAGUUCUCCCAGCUGUCUCGGCUCUCCGAACGAACAGCCUCACAACAAUGCAGGGCUGGAAAAGACAAACCUUUGGAGCGGUGGACGAGGCGGGGUCCACUUCAGGCAAAACACCCUCUGAGGCACCCAUUCUCAUCUUAGUGCCACUUCCAACAAUAAACACACGUUUACACACUGGUUCUCUGGCUUGUCACCCCAUCAUCCCUCUGUUUGUCCAUUUGGAGAGGCAUCACAUUGUCCGGUAUGAGCACAGAGCUAAAGUCAACGAUCGUCCUGUACUCCAGUGAUAUAAAGGUUUGUGGAUAUAUGCAGACAAUGUCU
ensembl:lncRNA